rnacentral:rRNA from 1 species
GACGAACCGUACGAACGUUAUUCGGAAUUACUGGGCUUAAAGGGUGCGUAGGCGGUGCGGAAAGUUGGGUGUGAAAUCCCUCGGCUCAACCGAGGAACUGCGCCCAAAACUACCGCACUCGAGGAAGAUAGAGGUGAGCGGAACUUACGGUGGAGCGGUGAAAUGCGUUGAUAUCGUAAGGAACACCCGUGGCGAAAGCGGCUCACUGGGUCUUUUCUGACGCUGAUGCACGAAAGCUAGGGGAGCAAACGGG